rnacentral:tmRNA from 1 species
GGGGGUGACAGGUUUCGACUCCGUACGUUGCCGCAGGGGAAGCGAGCCGAGGAAGCCGACGUCGUCUCGGUAAUCGUCGUCGGAAAACAAUAAGCGCCAAGACUAACGUCAAAAGCGCUUACGCCCUCGCCCGCUAAGGCGAGGUAGCGUAGCCGUCGGUCUGGGAUCGCCUUCGUCCCAGUAAACCGGCGUCAUUGAGAAGGCUGGCCAACCGGACCCCGUCGGGGGGUCCGCGCGGUGAGAUCAAUCCCGACUGGGCCCGCCACACCGACUCGCUCACGUGAUCGGAGGGGCCGAGUAGAGGCACAGUGAGCUGCGCUCGGAGAAGCCCUGACAAGACGCCGGAGGACCCGGGUUCGAUUCCCGGCACCUCCACGA